rnacentral:rRNA from 1 species
CUACGGGUGGCUGCAGUGGGGAAUAUUGGACAAUGGGGGAAACCCUGAUCCAGCAAUGCCGCGUGUGUGAAGAAGGCCUGCGGGUUGUAAAGCACUUUCGGUUGGGAGGACUGCUUCUAGCACUAAUAUUGUUGGAAGUUGACGUUACCUUCAGAAGAAGCACCGGCUAACUCCGUGCCAGCAGCCGCGGUAAUACGGAGGGUGCAAGCGUUGAUCGGAAUUACUGGGCGUAAAGCGCGCGUAGGCGGCUAGAUCAGUCGGGUAUGAAAGCCCCGGGCUUAACCUGGGAACUGCAUCCGAUACUGUCUAGCUUGAGUACAGGAGAGGAGAGUGGAAUUCCACAUGUAGCGGUGAAAUGCGUAGAUAUGUGGAGGAACACCAAUGGCGAAGGCAGCUCUCUGGCCUGAUACUGACGCUGAGGUGCGAAAGCGUGGGGAGCAAACAGGAUUAGAUACCCGGGUAGUC